rnacentral:lncRNA from 1 species
CUUUGUUCCUCCUGCUAACUGAAAGGUGGAUGUGAUGGCUGGAACUCAAGAAGCCAUCUUACAUCAUCAGGUUCUAACAGCAUGUUGACCAUGAUGGAACAAUAAGACAAAAGGAGCCUGCUUUUAUGAUGGCCAUUGUGAUAGGAAAUUUUACCUGUGAAUUUGACCAGGCCAUGGAGUGCCCAAAUAUUUGGGCAAACAUUAUUUCUGGGUGUGUCUGUGACAGUGUUUCCAGAUGAGAUUAGCAUUUGAAUUGAUGGAUUCAGUAAAGCAGCUUACCCUCCCAAAUAUGGAUGGGUAUCCCAAUCUGUUGAGGGCCUGAAUAGAACAAAAGGUAGAAGAAGAGAGAAUCUGAUCUCUCCGCCUGGCUGCAAGAGCUGGAACAUCGUCUUCCCUUGCAUUCAGACUUCAACUGGGACUUACCCUGGUUCUCAUGUCCUUGGGCUCCAGCUAAGACCAUCUCAUUGGCUUUCCUACACCUCCAGCUUGCAGACAGCAGAUCAUGGGACUUCUCAGCCAAUUCUCUCUCUCUCUCUUAUUCUGUUUCUCUAGAGAACCCUGACUAAUACAGAUUUUCGUACUUGAGAAUGGUCUAAAAGAUAGGACCACUGCCUCAGUGGGUCUGGAAGGCAGAGCAUCAAGCCAAAGAGGAUUAUUCUCAGGACUUUAAGAUCUCAUGGAGUUUCCCCUGCUAAGUUUUGGACUUACUUGGGACCCAUCAUUUCUUCUUCCUCUCCUAUUUCUCUCGGAAUGAGAAUGUCUAUCCUAUGCCUGUCUCACCAUUGUAUUUUGGAAACAUGUAACUUGUUUGGUUUCACACGUUCACAGCUGGAGAGGAAUUUUGCCACAGGAUGAGUUGUACCUCAAGUCUCAUCCAUAACUGAUUUAGAUGAUAUUUAGAUGAGACCUUGGUUUAGACUUUAGAGUUGAUGCUGGAAUGAGCUAAGAUUUUGGGGGCUGUUGGGAUGGAAUGAAUGUAUUUUUCGUGUAAGAAGGGCAUGAAUUUGGGGGAGCCAAAGGCAGAGUGCUAUGGACUGAAUGUUUGCAUCCUCCCUGAAUUCACAUUUUGAAACCCUAACUCCAAUGCCUUGGUAUUUGGCGGCGGGGCCUUUGGGAGGUAAUGAGGUUAUGAGGAUAGAGCCCUCAUGAAUGGGAUUAGUGAUCUAGUCACAGGAGACCGAGAGAGAUGGUCGCUCUCUGUGCCAUGUGAGAACACAGCUGAAAGACGGCCAUUCUGCAGACUAGGGAGAGGGCCUUCACCAGACACUGAAUUGGACCCUGAUCUUGGACUUUCUAGCCUCCAGAACUGUGAGAAACAAAUUUUUAUUGUUUAAACCACUCAGCCUAUGGUAUUCUGUUAUAGUAGCUCAAGCUGACUAGGGCAGUAAUGAAGCACCAUGCUGGCCCUGAACUGCUGAACUCUGGAUUUCACGUACAUACGACAAAGAAUAAACUUCUAUCUGACUCAAAUCCUGGUCAUUUUGAGUUUUCUGUCAUUUGCAGCCAAACUUUAGUAAUACUGGUAGUGACAGAUCGGCCUCUCCCACAGGGGCAUCUCCAGAUCUACUGGCAGAAAGAAGGCCAAAUAUGUCCUCUGCAGACAGAUCACUAGUAGAACCACUCAAAAGGGGCUGAGCCACCAGUAUCCUGUUCCUUCUUCCAAACAUCAGUUGGGUUAGUCAUCUAUCACAGGAGAGAAAUGACUGGAGGCGCCAAGAGAGACCAGGAAUGUGAACUAAGGAGGCCCCUCCACAUGGAAAUAUGAGACUUGGAGAAGAGAGGUUCUCCUGAACCUGGGAAAUGAAUGCAUCAAAGAUUUCAAAUUCUGCAGGUUCCAGAAGAAGGAGGAGAUGGGAAAGGAGUUUAUGCCAGAUAAAGUAAGACAGCAUCUUAAAUGAGCAAACUAAAGAGUAAAUGAGUUUGGAGGUGACAGCAGUUUCUCUGGCUGAAUGGGAAUGUAAAAUUGCAAGUGUUACAGCUGAAAAGCACCUUCGAGAGCAUUCUGGUCCAAUGAAACUUCAGUCAAGAGAAGCUUUCAAAAGUUGGUAACAGGGUUCCUGUAGGUGCCAUUAAACUGAACAGGACAAGAGCUCCAAUCCCUCAAAGGUGCAACUUUCCACUGGGACUUUGAUAAAUUGGGAGGAGAAGAGAAUCAAUGCAGGCUCCAGCAACACCAGGAUGCUUUCAGCCUGCAGCAAUUGACAAUUCCAUAUUUUAUUGAAUUGAAGCAAAAUUUCUUUCUCAUGCAUGUUACAUGUCAAUUGCAAGCCAGCAAAAGGACUCUGAUCAUCACAGCAGUUCAGCCCUACAGAUUGAGAGAGGCUCCAUCUCAAACCAUGCUCCACAGUGUCUGAGUCUCCUCCACAGCUUCUGACGAGAGACAGUCACAGCUUUUGGAACUUCAGAAGUGGGGCCACCUACAGUACCUCCAGACAGUGAAGGAGAACUGGGGACAAAGACAAGGCGCUCUGGGAGCUCAGAAGAAUUGACUAGCUCUACUGAUGAAGAGGAAAAGGAAUAGCGGUGGUUUAAGAUACACACCAGGUACAAGUUUGCUGGGAAAAGCAUAGAACUGCCUGUGUGAUGUGUGGCAGGCCUGGGAAGGGGCAAGUGUUCCUAAAGUGCUCUUCUGUGAGAGAUGCAUUUAUUUAUUCUCUCUCCUCUGUAACUCAGAAUCUGGGCUACACAUAUGAUGAUGAUGAUGAUGAUGACAAUGAUGAUGAUGAACAUAAUGGUAGGGGCUGGCCUGGUGGUGUAGUGUUUAAGUUUGCGUGCUCCACUUUGGUGGCCUGGAGUUCGCAAUUCCGAUCCUGGGCACAGACCUAGCACCACCAGUAGAUCCCACGCAGUAAUAGAGGAAGAUUGCCAUAGAUGUUAGCUCAGCCACAAUCUUCCUCAAGGAGAAAGAGGAAGAUUGGCAACAGGUGUUAGCUCAGGGCCAGUCUUCCUCACACACACACACACACACACACACACGCAAAAGAUAAUGAUGAUGAUGACAAUGAUGGUAAUGCUGAUUAUGAUAAUGAUGAUGAUGGUGAUGAUGAUGACAAUGAAGAUAAUGGUGAUGAUGACAAUGAUGAUGAUAAUGGUGAUGAUGAUGAUAGCAAACAUCUACAUGGCAUAAGACACUUAAUAUGGGUCACAUGUUACUUUGGUUUCAACAUAUAUCAACAUGUUUAAUUCUCACAACAUCCUUGGAGGAGAAACUAUGAUUAUCCCCAUUUUAUAGAUGAUGAAACUGAAUCAGAAAGGUUAAGUGACUUGCCCAAGUUUACGCAGUGAGUAAGUAGCAGAGCCUGGAUUUGAUCCUAGGCAGUCUAUCUCAGGCGUUUGCACUCUUAACCUCUAUAAUUAUAACAUGAAUGCUUGCUGUGGGCCAAGUUCUGCUCUAAGUCUUUACAUGUAUUCACUCCUUGGCCCCAUGGAACAAGAAACUUCUGAUGUACAUAUACUUCUUAAUAUCAUUUGACACAUAGGAAGCUGAGGAGCAGAGAAGUUAAAUAAUUUGUCCAAGCUCACACGGAAAUGAUUGUCAGAUCUGGGGUUUAAACCGAGGGAGUCAGACUCCAGAGCCAGCAAUCUCGGCUACUGUGCUUUACUAUCACAGGGUUUGUUCCUUUAUAACCUACUAGAUACAGAGCUCUCUACAGUGGGACCAGAAGGGUUUGAGUCUAGAUUUAACGAGGACGACACUGGCUCUCUAUAGUUCAGUGAGUAGCAAAGUGUGUGUAUAUCUGUGAUUAACACGUAAGUCUCAAUACAGUGCAAUUCCAGUGUUAUGUUCAAUUCCUCCUCACUAGGAAUUUGGUGAAACUUUUGUUUGAUAGGGUCAUGAAAGUUGUCUCUGUCCUGGUUCUGAUUAGAUGCUAUUCUGUGUCCCAUGAUGGACCACAUCCCGCAUUGACUUACAUAGGUUUGUUUGUUCAUUUAUUCAUGCAUUCAUUGAUCCACUCAAUAAAUAUUUGUUGAACCUGACUGAGUGCCAGGGAUUGUUGUAGAUACUGAGGAUAUGGAAUUGAGCAAAACAGUUAGCUGCGUCCCCUCUAGAGUCUACACUCUAAUGGAGAGAGUCAGAUAACAAACAAAUAAAUGAAUGAUAAGUGCUGGGGAGAAAAAUUAAGCAGGGGAGGGAGAGAGAAUGCCAAGAAGGAAGAGCAGUUGCUUGUUUAGAAGCAGGGAUAGAGUCCUGGAGAAGAUGAGAAAGUGACCCACGUGGGUACCUGUGAAAAAUGUUCUAGAUCUAAGAGAACAGCAAGUGCAAAGGCCCAGAGGUAGGAGCGUGUGUGACAAGUUUCUGGCGCAACAGGAGGCCAGUAUGGCUGGGGCAGAGCCAGCGAGGCAGAGAAUACUGGAACAGAGAGGAUAGUGGGGAAAUGAGGGUGGACAGACCAUCUAGGGCCUUGCAGGCCAUUGUGAGGCCUUUGGAUCACACUUUGAGUGAGAAAGGGCACCUCUGGAGGGCGUUGAGGAACCAAGUCACAAUCCGUGAGCCUCACUCAGGCUGCCAUGUGGAGCACAGGAAAACCAAAUGCUCACUAAGAGGGGGUGGUUGAAUAAAUUACAGCACAGUCAAACCACGGAUUAAGCCAUUACAAAGAUUGACUUAGAGCUUGCCGCUUGAUUUGGAGGGAAUUCCACGAGGAAAUGUCGAGUGAGAAAGCCAAAAUGCAGAAAGUAUUCGUUCCUGUGCCUUAUUUCCCUCUUCCUAAAGGGGAGUAUCUUUCCUUGGCAAAAAUGGAAAGAGCAAUCACCUACAGGAUUUUCCAUGAAGAGAUGACAGGUCUCCUGAAACUUCUGAACUUGGGAAAAGCACCUCAGUUCUGAAUUCAGACCUACAAGGACUGUGGCAUUCAUGAAAGGGGCAUCUGUACCAUUUAGAAAAUAUUGUUGAUGAGAUGACCACCCCCCUGGCGAACGAAAGGAGGUGAACUGGAAAUUCUUCACACUGGAAGAGAUAAAUUGCCCAUUUGGAAGGAACACCAAAAGAAAUAAAGCCCUAUCAUGAAAAACAAAAUAAAACAAAACAAAACAGAAAAUGACAAAUGUUGGCGAGAAUGUGCAGAAAUAGGAACACUUGCGCACUGCUGAUGAAAAUGUGAAGUGGCGCAGCCACCAUGGAAAGGAAUACGGAAGUUCCUCAAAAAAAUUUCACAUAUAAUUACCACAUGAUCCAGCAACUCACUCACUUCUAGGUAUAUAACCAAAAGAACUGAAAGUAGGGUCUCAAAGAGAUAUUUGUACACCCAUGUCCUUUGCAGCAUUAUUCACAAUAGACAAAAGGUGGAAGCAACCCAAGUGUCCAUCACCAGAUGAAGGGAUAAACAAAAUAUGGUAUAUACAUACAACGGAAUGUUAUCCAGCCUUAAGAGGGAAGGAAAUUUCGAUACAUGUUACACCGUGGAUGAAACUUGAAGACACUAUGCUAAGAGAAAUAAGCCAGAUACACAAAAGGACAAAUAUUAUAAGAUUCUACUUACAUGAGGUACCUACAGUAGUCAAAUUCACAGAGACAGAGGGUAGAAUGGUGGUUGUCAAGGGGCUGGGGGGAGGGGAGCGGCCAGUUAGUCUUUAAUGGGUGUGGAAUUUCAUUUUGGGAUGACGAAAACGUUCUGGAGAUGGAUGGUGGCGAUGGAUGCACAACAAUGUGAAUGUGGUUAAUGCCACUGAGCCACACACUUAAAAAUGGUUAAAAUGGUGAAUUUAAUGUCAUGUAUAUUUUUUGACAAUUCGAAGAAAAAUAAUAAGAAGACAGGAAGCCCUGUGUGACUGAAAAGACACCAGUCACAGUGGCUGGGAUCCCAUGAAGACCGUAUCAGGAGAACUCUCUUGAGUCCAUGGCUGCCCGUUCUUGGAACCCUGCAUAAAAUGGGACCGAGACUUUUGUGGUCCGCCUCUCACAGCGUCCAUUAGCUGACAGUGACCCUGGUGUUCCUUUUCCCAUUCUGGUCGCGCUAUCUGAGCAGAGAUGUGGAGGCUCCUAGGGGAGGAUGGGUGAUGGUGGCUGUCAAUCCCAGAGGCGAGAUAAUUCAAAUGGCCUUCCUGUGAAGCAUCACUUUCAGAGCAAACCUUGUGGAGCAGGAAAAUGCUAGAAACACACUGUGGCGGGAAAGAGGGACGAGGAGCUCAGAUGGGAGCAGAGGUAAUAAUCACACUGGAAUUUCCAAAGGAUGGCCAAGCCGCCACUUCAGUGCUGGUUGUAUUUAACAUUUCUUUUUAACUUCCUGCAUUCCUUCUUAAGCCUGUCUUUAGAUAAAGAUUUCUCUCCAAGGAGAAGAGAAAUUCACUUCACUUGCCCAAAAGCAGUAGGAUGUCACAAAAGCACCUUAGCGGUGGCUGUCUGCCAGACUGAUUUAAGACAGAAGUCUUCAGUUAGGAGAAACAUCUCCCAGGGUCCAUCCUCAUUUCCAUUUCAAGUACCUCAUUGGUGUGGGGCAUCCUGCUUUUCAUUCUCCUUUCUCCUUAACCAGCCCCUUGCACUGAGUUGCUCAAAAGGAGGGGAUGUUCUGCCUCAGUUGUAUGCGAGAGGCUGGUGACACCUGUCAGAGCAGACCAUACUCUCAAACUGGACAUCACCUGCCAAGGCAUAAAAUGCUUCCAAUGGAGAAGCAGCCGUCAGUCAGGGCGGUCAAUGGAAGAGAGGAGUUGGUGCUGAAGAUCCAGGACACUUUGGCCAAUGGGAAGAGAAGGGAGGAGUAGCAAAUCCAGAACUCUCAGUUCUAUUACCCCUGGGGAAGGUGUGACUGGAAAGAAGCUACUGCUUGACUUGGGACAAAGAUCUAACACUGGGCAAGGGUAGGUGGGAAACAUACUUGCAAGCAUAAUGGAGCACUUGUAGCUAGAGGUGUUCUGUUCCUUGACUGUGCAUGGUCUUGCAGCCUUAACUCUGCCCGGACCGUGAGGAUGAGCUGUAGGGCUUGUGACUAUCCUCCUGGCCUGGCUCCCUGGUAUUCCUGACCUGCAAACAUGAAGCUGAGGUCAGAGCUUACUCUCCGCAGGAGAUCCUGGUUCUAUCUGUCUUGCUCACUAAUAUCCCUCUCUUGCCACCAUCAAUUCCUUAGUCAUGAGCCAGAUCACCUGGGUUCAAAUCCCACAUCCCUGGGCCUGAUGGCUGACCAAGGGGCAACUCUUUGGGAGUAAAGAGAGCCUGGGUGUGCCCUGAAGCGCUCACACUGCUGGGCAGAGGUGGGCCACUCCAUCAUCUGGGAGCCGACUGAAGUCUGUCUGCAGUUUCUUUCUCUGGUUGGUUUCGUUAAUUCAUCCCACAUGUUCUUUGCUGGCUAGUGAGAGAAAGCUCCAGUGUCAGAUUGCGCCUGAGACCGAGUCAGAGCGGCUUCCCCUGACAUUUCCGUGAUCCCAGGCAGAUGCAUUCCCAGGGCAGGGCAGCAUGACCACUGGUCCGUGGAAAGUCUGUGUCAGAGUGAAGCACACGUGUGGGCUGAGGGGCUCAGCGGGCCCCUCUCGAAGGGCACUCUGGCUGUUAAACUUUCCAGCGUUUGAGGUGGGAACAGCCCAGCCUGGUCUGCCACGUGGGGCAGCCCGGGCCUUCACUCCUGGUUGCCAUUUUGCAGUUUGCAGUGGGUAUAGAUUUUUCUUACAAGACUUAUUAAGUGUGAGUGCAGCCUUACACACACGACUGCCUGCUCUCUGCUUUGCUCACAUAGUCUUACAAAGUGGAUCAGUAAUAUCCUCACCCUCAUUGUAGCAAUGAGGGAAGUGAAAUUCACAAAAGUCAAGUACCUUGGUUAGAAUCACCCAGCAAGGAAGCCACGAAGCCCUGAGCUUGAACUGGCUGCGGAGAGUGUGCACUUUUCUCCAAUUGCAGAGAUAAGGGUGAUUCCGCAGAGCCACCCCCCAAGCCCCCGAGACAGCGUGGUAGGGAAGGGGCAACAUGACCCGGGGACAGUGCCCUGCGUUGGUUCUAAUGCCUUCUCUUAGUCAAUCCCCUUUCUCAUCGGGAAGACACAGAGCUUGGAGAAUCCUAAGGCCCCUUUUAACAUUAAUACUCUCCGCUACUCUGAUCCUAUUUUUUUUUUUUUGCUUGCUUACAUUCUCUCCAAGGUACAGCCAUUUCUGUUUUGUAUUUCCUUAGCAGAUUUUAACUAUCAAGGGGCAUUUGUAUCCCUCCUAGCGUCAGGCCUGGGCAGGGCUGCCCUCAUGAUCAGGUGAACAAAUGUGGUAGCGUGAAGUAUCCAGGAUGGCAGUAUAGGAUCUCUGCCCUGGCUCUUGCCUCUGCUGUGCCUGAGGCAUGCCUGUCCUUACCUGACCAUACACCAAGCUCCUAUGGAAACUUCAAAGCCCAAUGCAGUUGUCACCACCACCAAGAAGCCUUCCUUACCAUAACCCUAUGCUCUGGCCACCCCUAAAUUAAACUCCUCACCCUGCUACUGUGGUUUAUACCUUCUUUUGUAGCCAUGAUGUUUUGGGCUCUUUGCUUGUUUACACAUCUGUCUUCUCUACAGAUGUGUGGGUCUCCUGAGUGUGGGUGCUAGGUCUUUAUCACCUUUGAUUUAACAGAUAGAGGAAGCGCAAUCAGGAUUUGUGGAAGGAGGGAAGAAAGCAAGGAAGUGACUAAAAUGAGUUGGCUCUUUUCUGAAGAUACCAACUUAUAAGAAAUCUUCAAAGUGCAUGUGCCAAUCAGUAGGAUGGCAUCUCUGUUGAUGAGGUUUUGCUGGGCUAGACAGUGGGUCAGCCUCCCUCCUCCUACCAUACACGCACACACACACACACUCAGCAACGGCUUCACCUUUGAGUAACACAAUCAAUUUUAAUAGGCCUCAUGUCUCUUUCCUUUAAAACUUAGAGAAUUUAACGAAUUCUCCUUUAAUUUCUCUUUAGUGAAAUUCAUGAGUGACAUUUAAAUUAUUCAG